rnacentral:lncRNA from 1 species
GAGAAAUCGGCUUGUCUAUGUUUAACAGCACCAAUCUGACCUCUGUGAACAGUCUGACUAUGGCAUACCAAGGCAUCACAGUAAUAGGACCGCAGACCUUCGACAAGUUUCAAAACCUCAAAACUCUCAAUUUGGACCACAAUGAUCUAUCCCAAGUCUCGUCAGACUGGUUCAGCCAUCAGGGUACACUUGAGACACUUAGACUGUCAAAUAAUAAAAUCACUACACUGGAUCAUAAUUCUCUUGAUGGGCUGCCAAACCUGCUCACCCUAGACUUGUCUCAGAACCAGAUUCACUACAUAACCCCAAGCAGUUUUCUUGGUCUCAGUAAACUGAGGCAGUUAGACCUUUCCAACAACAAACUGACACAUUUGAGUAUGGAUGUGUUUCUUACACUUAACGGCACAAAGAUCCAUUUGGACAAAAAUCCUUGGGACUGCUCCUGCUCUGUGAACGACUUUGCCAAAUACCUUAGAGGUAAGCAUUCAUUUCCAUCUUAUACUUUUUAUCUAAUGCUACUGAAAUAUUCAGUUUUACUGUUUUACUGUAUAUUCUUCUUUCAAAAACAUUAAAGCGUUAGUUCACCCAAAAAUGAAAAUUAGCCCAUAAAUUACUCACCCUCAAGUCAGCCUAUGUGUAUAUGACUUUCUUCUUUCAGACGAAUCCAGUCGGAGUUGUAUUAAAAUUUGUCUUUGAUCUUUCAAGCUGUUUAGUGCCACUCAACGGGUGUUGCAUGCAUCAUUCCAAAAAGAAGUGAAAUAAAAAAGCGCCCAUCCAUUUAAAAACUGACACAUUUGAGUAUGGAUGUGUUUCUUACACUUAACGGCACAAAGAUCCAUUUGGACAAAAAUCCUUGGGACUGCUCCUGCUCUGUGAACGACUUUGCCAAAUACCUUAGAGGUCUGCAGAAUGCUUCUCUUCUGCAGAACGAGAUGGAGGUGUGCUGUAAUAGCCCUCCUGAUUUGAAAGGUAAGCCAGUAUGGCAGGUCCCAGAGUGUAAAACCUUCACAACCAUGAGCCCUACCACUGUGAGCCUGACCACUGGAAGUCCUGGCACCAGGAACCCUGCCACUGUAAUAAUAACCAAACCUAUUAGAAUCGGACACUCAACUUUAAUCAUUUUAAUUGUGGUACUGUGUGCCCUGGUGCUUGUCAUCUGUGUCCUUUCAGUGUUGUAUCACAGGAAACGAGAGAGGAAACAUCUACAGGCUGUAAAACCUGCUUCAGAGAAAUCCGAAAUUAUACAAACCAGUGAAUCAACUGCAAAGAGCAAUGGAGAAGAAAACAGAAAAAUGAAAUCUGAAAUUGCUAAUAAAACACACAUUGCCACAACAGAGAUGUUAAUGAGGACACAACAAAUGAUGGUUGGAGAUGAGAAGACAUCACAGAUUUACCAUAUUUAUUCAUCAGGGACAUAUGAAACCAGAGAACCUAUUAAACGAGUGAGAUCUGCUGGGCCGGUCCUGUGCAGGAUGGAGAUAUUUUCUAAAGUGACAGAAGCAGAAGUGGCCACUGAGGAAGAUGGGGUAAGGAAUGAUGAGUAUUACAAUGGAUGGAUGACCUCAGAAAAAGAAAAGGACAAUUUAUGUGUGAACACUGAGGAGGUGGAAGAUGGAAGAAAUGCUGCAGAUGAGGAGAGUGAUGGAUUCAUUGAUGAGGUCAGUAACACCACAGACACCGUGAACUCACACAAGGAACUUAGAGAGAAAAAAGAAGAUACUGAUGUGAGCAUUCAAGAUGGAACAAGUGUAAACCAAGACGUUCUUCAGCAUUUUGUGGAGAAUGAUGUGUUGGUUCACCUCAAUGAGUUGACCACUGAAGCAGGAAGCAGUGAAGAUAUUCUCCAGGUAAAACAUGUCACAUCCCAGUCUGAGGAGACUGCUGAAAACCUGCCAUACCUCUCAAUCGGUGCUGAACCGGAAAACCAGACGUCUGGGGUUGAUCAGAAUACUGCUAAAGGAACAUCUGGACCUUCAAGACCCAUUUGGCGGGUACUGACCUGGCCUCCGACUGCGGCCCAGUGGAAGAAGCAGUGGGCUCAAAAUCAACAAGUGCUUAAUGUGUUCCCUCAACUAAUAUUUGUAACCGGUUGCAGGCAUGACAUCAGACCAUUUCAUCCUUGCAUUUCUCCUGCAGUCCUCCCAACUGCUCCACAGUUCAAUGCACGGGAGUUUCUGCCAGAAAUAACGUCCCCAAUAGAAGAUGUCCGGGUCACUAUUGAUGAGGACACUUACAGGGCAAGUUUUGAGUCAUCCAAUCAUAAAGUCCUGCAUUUGAGUGCACAGGAAUGCUUUUCUGAUUCUAAUAUAUCACCAAGGGAGGAUGGCAGAAUUAAUACAAAUGGGGAAACUUGGAGGUCAGGUCUCGAGUCGACCAUCUUUUCUGAUUUUCGAGACUUGUCCUCCAAGAACUCCCAGAUUGAUGAAAGCGAGGUCUGCUCUGAAUUGUUCAGCAUUUGUAAUCCCUCAUUUGGUGGCAGCAAGUCAAAGCCUGCUGCUGGAGAGGAGAUCAACAACAAAGAUGAUAAGAAAAUACAGAGCAUGAAAAGAAAGACGCACAGAGUUCACCAAAGUGAGCAGGUAGCAUCAGAAUUGCAGAAGCAGUCCAGGAGAGCGGAGAAAGCUGCACGGAGAGCUCACAGAGAUCGACGAGAGGGUCAGAUGUGUGAAGGCUCUGACUUGAGAGUGCCCCCUUCGGGAGGUUCUCCAAAAGAUGACAGUCUGUUGCUGGGGAAUGAGUAUACCUUUAUAGACCUGCUACAUGAGGUGGUGGAAAAUCAUGGGCGCUGGACUCGAGAAAGGUGGAGAAAAACACAAAAAAACAAACACAAGCUCAAACAGAGUCGUUAGGUGUCAGAUGUUACAAAUUAUAUGUAUGUAUGUGUGUUUAAUUGUUUCGUGUGUGUGUGUUGUGGUGUCUAUGCCACAAAUGUAAAAAGAAAAUUAAUUUAAAAUAUAAAAACAAAAAUGAAAGAUUAUUAAAUACAUCUCAAAAUAAUCAGUUCUUCAGCUCCGUGAAACCUGCAAAACACUGUAAAAUGUGAUAUGUAAAAAUGAACAUGGUAUGUACAGUAUUUUCUAUAACAGACUCGUACAGACAUUUGGUUUCACAAUUGACAGAUUUUUACUGCAUUAUUAAAUGCUAAAUAAAAUCUAUCCAUUUACACAUCAACAAAGUAUCAAAGUGUCUAUUGGUAGGAAAAUACUGGCACAUUUUUCUGGCUGCGUGCAGCAUUUAUUGAUUCAUUCUUACAUGUUAGUACAGACUUCAUUUAAGAAAUUGUACAAAAUGUAUAAGUUCAUGUAUUAAGCACAAUCCAAAAACAGGAGCCAGCAACUGUAAACAUGGGUCUCUGACACAUUUGGCAAGAUAAGGACAUGCAUGGUCCAUGUUUUUCUAAAACUACUGAAAAAAAUAACAGAAAUUUUGUAAAUCACAGCAGCUUUGAUCAGCUGAUCAAGAUAUAGGUUUUAAAUCUUAGGGAUCUAGUAAAAUAGAAGAAUCUCCAGGCUGAUAUUUUUAACAUGCACAUUAUGCAUAUCCUUUCCAAUUAUGGCUGGAAAUUUAAGAAAACAUUCAAAAAAAAAAACAUUCCCAAAGCAAUCUGCAUGAGAAAACAGCGACUGAUGGACAGCGUAGCUGACAAUAGCUUAACACAAGCAAAAAACAUUAAUGUAGUCUGAUGAACUGUACAGUAUUCUACCCAACACAUCAAGGGUUGACACCUCCAUUUACUACUGACAGACUGACAGUCUUGGAGCUAAGCAAUAAAUAAACUGAUAUGCCAGAUCAAUAGAAGCCAUAUAAGGCUGAAAAUGCCUUAAAUAUGCUGUAAACAUGAAUAAAGAAUUAUAAAGUAUUUUUAAAAAAUAAAACAUAAUAGCUACAAAGAUUCCUGUUUCAUUGCUUUAACUGUCAUCUAUCACAUCUCUUUGUGGAGACAGACAGGUAAGAAUGAUAUGAAAGGAAUUCAGUUUAGCUACUUUGCACAAAGUGGGCAUUCACAUUUCUGUUCAAUAAAAGAUGAAUACAUCUGUCUGUUAAGACAACAGAUUAAAAUCAAGAGCAGCUUUCCAUGAUAGCUUUAAAUGUCACCUCCAUAUACUGAUGGAAAUGUCAAUUAACAUACAGAUGGCAAAACAAAACAAAUUUAAAUGUAUUGUUAAAUGUCAAAUUUGUAAUGUUUUCCUUUAUGUAGUUUAAGGGUUACUAUGUACUGCUCUAUCAACAGAGCUUAGUGCAUAAAAUCAGCAAAUUCAAAUGAUGUAUAUUUUCUCUCGUGCACUCACUAUAUAAUAUUUAUAUAGACAUAUAUAGCUAUACCUUUUUGUCCUAAAUGAGCAGUAACAUACAUUGACUGUGCACACUGAAAUAAAAAAAAAAAGUAACUGAAUAUAUGUAUAUUUUCUUCUCGUGCACUCACUAUAUAAUAUUUAUAUAGACAUAUAUAGCUAUACCUUUUUGUCCUAAAUGAGCAGUAACAUACAUUGACUGUGCACAACUGAAUAAAAAAAAAAAGUAAACUGAAUAUUUUUUUAUAAAAUUACAAAAUGCUGAAUGCGGUUGUAAAGAGAAAACAAACAAAAAACAACUUGUUAGCUUUGAAGCAAAAUGCCACCGAAAAACAAUGGUUACCAACAGUGUAUAUUACAUAUAAUAUUUUCUAUUGUAUAACCCAAACAUAAUUCAUAAGUUUGACACCAAACCUGUUUUAAUAUUGAUCUUAUGUAUAUUACCAUUUGGCAUCUCUUCAAUGCUGUAGAAUAGGUUCCAUUUUUUUGCAGUAAAUUUGACAUCGUACGGCAAAGAACUUGAUCUAGCUUCUGUUCUCAGCACAUGUAAACUGGUGUAUGAUACCAUUAGUAGUGAUAAUUGACAGUGAUUUACAGUAAAUCAUCAUGGUGUUCAAUCACAUGUAAAAGCUUUAGUUUGAGAUUAGCAAUUUCAAAUGUAAAACCCUUUGUGCUUUGAGGAAUAAAACACAAAAUACUGUGAAUACCAAGAAGUCACUGAGCAUGUAAAAGAAUAUGUGGCCAAAUUAUAUACAAAUAUAUAUUAAUAUAUACUAUAUUCGUGCUAUACAAGUACAAAAUAUAGCACUGAUGUAAACUAAUUCUGUUCAAUAUCAUACUGAAACACCUCACAUGUAUGACUAUCCAGUGUUCUGGUCCACUCGGGUCAGCUGACUGAUGUAAUAGUUGUUUUUUUUUCCUUCGGCCUUUAGCUGCCCUCUUGAAUACUGCUUCACGUAAUGUUUCUGAUAUAUACUGCCCUAUAAAUCCAAAGUGCUUGGACAGCUUGUUUGGUCCAGACUGAUUCAACACCUCACACUUGCACUGAGCCAAGUCUCAAAUACAAAAAUGUAAUAACCAGCCACAUUCCGAGAAGUUUGAAAUGUGCCACGAGAUUCUGUAUGUCUGUGUCAUAGAAAAGAGCAAUCUGUAAAGUGUUUCAGUUAUACAGUUACGCCUAUUUGGCUUGGUUGGGCAGCUUGGGUUGUGAAUGUGUUGGCACAUGGGUCGUGUCUGUCACUCUUCAUGCAGCCUGUAGCAGCUCAAGACGGAGGAGGGAGGGAAGGAUGGUUAACGAGAACUUCUAGUUCCUACAGAUGGGUCUCAUCCCUCGUCUCAGGUCCAUAGUCUUGAUGUAGCUGCACUCCGGCCGGAGCCCCUGGGAGAUUCUCAGGGACGUGUGCCAGCGGAUCAGAGCGGAUGAUGUAGCUACAGAAAGGUAGAAAACAGGUUGAAUGGUUAAAAACCAGCUGGCUGAACUAAGCACAGUGUUUAAGGUGAUCAAAUAUUGAUCUUUUAAUGAAAGCCGGAUCAGAUAAAUCAUAAAAUGUAAAAAAAAAUAAAAAAAAUAAUUUCAAACCAACUGUAUUUGCAAAACAUCGCAAACUGUAUAUUUGUACAACCCUUAGUUCAUAUUGUUCAUGGGGUAUUCCCACCCCAAAUGCACACCAUUGGUUGAGUGUGGUUGAGUCAGACAAAAUUGACCUGACCGAUCUGAGCUUCAGUCUGCCAGAUGAAUCUCCAGUCACAUUCAUCUUGUUCUCAUCACAAAUCAUUUUGGACAACGGUUAUUAAUCCUGGUCCUCAUGACCACUCGCUCUGCACAUUUUGUAUGUUUCUCUUAUCGCUUUAGAGGUUUGUUCCUUUAAACCGUAAGUGCCAGUGCCCUGCGAGGUGGACAUCACAGGAUAUGCUGCCAUGAUUCCAUGAUUCCAUUAAAAUGCAUGAGACAUUACUACAAUGCAAAUCUCAUGAUUACGGUUAAAUAACACUUCACACUUCAGUAGAAAGUUUUGUCUGUGUGUGUGCAGGCAGUGGUGUAGUGCAAAUCUGUGUUCUUAAAUGAAGUAAACUUCAGCCAAUUUGCUGUGUGCAGGGAGUAGUGAACACUGUGUAGGGACCAUGUCAGUUGGAACACAAUUCAUUCAUGGAGCUCUCUUUUUAAACAAGACUGAUCUGAAUCAGGUGUGUUAAACGAAAGACAUGCAAAAUAUGCAGAGCGGGCAUCGCGAGGACCAAGAUUAAGAACCGCUGAUUUUUGCAUUGGCCUUUAAUUGGAAUAAACCUCACACUGAUUGAUUGGUCAGGCUGGCAACAUUUGUGGCUUAUGAAAAUGUUUUUAUAACUGCAUACUGUUUUAUAUUGUAUGUACAGUAUUUGCCACUAUUUACAAAUAUACAGUAAAUAGCAUCUAACACCAUUUACACUAAAUAAAUAGCACAAAUUAAGUAGCAUUUAACAGAAUUUGCACUUAAAGGCAAAUAGCAUUAGCCGAAUAAAUAAUUAAAAAUUUUAUAAAUAUUUUAUUUAUAGUUUCCCUUUCUUCAUACUACAUCUAAAGAGUUAUAAAUUGUUUACUUGUCACAUUUAACUGGAAAAUAAUUUUCACGACAUUAAUAAAACUGCACACU